rnacentral:piRNA from 1 species
UAAACUUUCCGUUGGUACUAUUAAGUUGGCC